UAUCAGUUUGUUGGUGAGGUAAUGGCCCACCAAGACUAUUACAGGUACGGGCUCUGAGAGGAGUAGCCCGGAGAUGGGUACUGAGACACGGACCCAGGCCCUAUGGGGCGCAGCAGGCGAGAAAACUUUGCAAUGUGCGAAAGCACGACAAGGUUAAUCCGAGUGGUUUCUGCUAAAGGAACCUUUUGUCAGUCCUAGAAACACUGAUGAAUAAGGGGUGGGCAAGUUCUGGUGUCAGCCGCCGCGGUAAAACCAGCACCUCAAGUGGUCAGGAUGAUUAUUGGGCCUAAAGCAUCCGUAGCCUGCUUUGUUAGUUUUCGGUUAAAUCUGUACGCUCAACGUACAGGCUGCCGGGAAUACUGCAAAGCUAGGGAGUGGGAGAGGUAGACGGUACUCGGUAGGAAGGGGUAAAAUCCUUUGAUCUAUUGAUGACCACCUGUGGCGAAGGCGGUCUACCAGAACACGUCCGACGGUGAGGGAUGAAAGCUGGGGGAGCAAACCGGAUUAGAUACCCGGGUAGUCCCAGCCGUAAACCAUGCAAACUCAGUGAU
rnacentral:rRNA from 1 species